rnacentral:tRNA from 1 species
CGGCACGUAGGGCGGUUCCUCCUCGGGCUCGUGGCCCGCGGGGUCGGUGAAGAUGAGCCGGAUGGGGGGCUCCACCUCGCGCAGCGAC